CACUGCCGCAGUUCCCCGACCUCUGCUUAGUGCGGAUUCUCCGCUACGUCGGUGGUGCUGGUCCCGAAGCCUCCGCCCUGGGCUCCCCGGUCGAGAAGAGGAGCAAGGCCAGGAAGGAGACAGAUGGUUUCGGCACAGGACAGAGAUGGGGAAUUCUGACUGGCUUCUGAUGAGGGUCCUUAGGAUUCAGAACUGGUCCCCAGGCAGGAAAGAAAAGGUAAGUGCCUGCGGGGAUGCUGGUGCUGCCUCAGGGCAAGCCAGGCCUGCUGAUUUCCUACCAUGUAAGCCUCAGGGCUAGGUCCUCCUCCCCACAGUGUGCUUAGUAGCUGAGCUGUCUGGGUUGGGAGUGCUCCAGGCCGGAGAGGGGGCUCCAAGCUCUCCAGGCUGUUGAGGCUGCUGCUGGGCAAUUCCAUGCUCUGGACCUCAUUACAUGCACCUGGUAAGGCAGGAGUGGAAGGAACGUCAAUAGCAAAAAAAGAGGGAGACAGCCUCACCACCACCACUGUUCAAAAGCAGACGCUAGAGGGCUGCGUGAUCUGCAGACAGGCAGAGGCUGAAGAAAGAAAAGGGAAUUGUACCAUCUUCUAUCACCUAUAAAAGGAAGGCAAGAACUGUGUGUAGACCAGCAGCUAUGAAUAUAACUUUCUGAGAUUCAGGAACCUUUGGAAUGUCUUCACACUGAAUGUUCUUUAUGGCCAUUUCCAUUUCUCCAGAGCAUCAUAACCCACAAAGCGAGAAAAGGCUCAUGUGAUUGGUUUCUUUGGUGUGAUAGGUUUUGUUUUUGGAGGGAGAGAGGACAGCAAAAAAGAAGGGUCUCUACAGCCCAUCUUGGAGAAGAAUCCCAAGAAGUGGGAUGUGUAGUGGCAGGUCUAAGGAAAAGGUGACUGUAUGCCCAAGAGCCUGAAGAAAGGAAGGGACCUGGCGGGGCCAGACUUGGUGGGGGAGAGCUCAUGUGGCUCCUGAUACAUAUCGUGACCGCAGCCUCUCUAAAUCCAAACUCUUUUUCUCUUAUCCCAAACGCCACCCCCCUUCUUCCUUAUAUGUGACAAAGGAAUUCUUCUUUUGUCAACUGACAUUUGUUAGGAAAUCUUGCACUCAACACUCAGGAAAUACAAAGUCACACUAUAGGACAUUUUUUUCUAUGGGACAUUUCAGUCCAGCUGAGGAGAAAACUCACAUCAGAUUCUUCUUUUUCAUCCCAGUGCUGUAUGUGGUGGAAUGCCCAGAGCAGACACCCAGCAGUGCAUUCACCAGGCAGAGGAGCAAGGCAUGAAACUGCUUGGGACAGCGUUUGGUUCACAUGGUGAGCACACUGUCCCUGCCCCUUUUGCUCUGUUCUCACCACAACUACCAAGAGCUGGAACCUUCCCAUAUUAUGUCUCCCUACCUCCCUUGUAUCCUCACUGCUAUAGCUGUAUUAAACUCUAUCACUGUCUUCACUAUUUCCCUCCUGCUUUUACAAUGGCUCCCUAACACUUAUGAGAUAAAGUCCAAAACCUGUGGGCUGGUUUCAAUGCCCUCCACAACUUGAUGACAACCUACUCCUCCACAAUCCUCCACCCCCACCCUUGAAACACGCAUGGGAGGGUGAGUGUAUACUCAUGUACACACACACACACACACACACACACGGAGCUUCUGCUUUGGUCAGGCCAUCUCCCCACUACUCCCCCAAGGAACUAUGAACUACCCACCUCCAGUAACCCCUGCUGCUUCUCUGAGGCUGCCCAGCCACCAGCUGCAGCCAUAGACCCUGUAAGGAGCUUCUGUUACCAUGUGCCCACCAAGGCCUUCCCUCCCCAGAGCUCCCACAACCAUUACUAUCCACCCUACUCAUGAAGACCCUGUUCUGGGACAUGUUGAGUUGAAAGAGGCAGCAGUAAAUUGAGAUAGAAAUGCCCAAAAGGCAGAUGCAAAUGGUGCAUUAGCGCAAAACUGUGGGGAUCCACAGCACCAAGGCACUGUAGAAUGCAGAGAGAAAAGGAGCAGAGGGACAGGGACUGAACUGUACAGCCAUGCCCCUAUUCAGAGCAAAGAGGAGACAUUUGGGCAGGAACAGAAUACAAAAAGCGGAGAUACAUCAUCCAUAGUAGGAACAGAUACUGUGUAAAAGGGGGAAAAACUAAAAUAGAAGUAUAAUAGUUUCAUUCAUAAGUUUAGAAGAAAAUAAGAAAAUAUUAGAAGAAACAGCCAAGAGUGGAUAAAAGUUACCACUGUGGAACAGGGAUCAGAAAUUGGC